GUCAGGCGGGGCCACCCGCCGAGUUUAAGCAUAUAAAUAAGCGGAGGAGAAGAAACUUACGAGGAUUCCCCUAGUAACGGCGAGCGAACCGGGAUCAGCCCAGCUUGAGAAUCGGGCGGCCGCGCCGUCCGAAUUGUAGUCUGGAGAAGCGUCCUCAGCGACGGACCGGGCCCAAGUCCCCUGGAAAGGGGCGCCGGG
rnacentral:rRNA from 1 species